UUAAAUUGAAGAGUUUGAUCAUGGCUCAGAUUGAACGCUGGCGGCAGGCCUAACACAUGCAAGUCGAACGGUAACAGGAAACAGCUUGCUGUUUCGCUGACGAGUGGCGGACGGGUGAGUAAUGUCUGGGAAACUGCCUGAUGGAGGGGGAUAACUACUGGAAACGGUAGCUAAUACCGCAUAACGUCGCAAGACCAAAGAGGGGGACCUUCGGGCCUCUUGCCAUCGGAUGUGCCCAGAUGGGAUUAGCUAGUAGGUGGGGUAACGGCUCACCUAGGCGACGAUCCCUAGCUGGUCUGAGAGGAUGACCAGCCACACUGGAACUGAGACACGGUCCAGACUCCUACGGGAGGCAGCAGUGGGGAAUAUUGCACAAUGG
rnacentral:rRNA from 1 species